CAGCCGCCGCGGUAAUACGUAGGUGGCAAGCGUUGUCCGGAAUUAUUGGGCGUAAAGCGCGCGCAGGCGGUUCCUUAAGUCUGAUGUGAAAUCUCGCGGCUCAACCGCGAGCGGCCAUUGGAAACUGGGGAACUUGAGUGCAGGAGAGGGGAGCGGAAUUCCACGUGUAGCGGUGAAAUGCGUAGAGAUGUGGAGGAACACCAGUGGCGAAGGCGGCUCUCUGGCCUGUAACUGACGCUGAGGCGCGAAAGCGUGGGGAGCGAACAGGAUUAGAUGCCCUGGUAGUCCACGCCGUAAACGAUGAGUGCUAAGUGUUAGAGGGUAUCCACCCUUUAGUGCUGCAGCAAACGCAUUAAGCACUCCGCCUGGGGAGUACGGCCGCAAGGCUGAAACUUAAAGGAAUUGGCGGG
rnacentral:rRNA from 1 species